CAUGGGCUGAGGGGGAGGGUAGACGAGUGGCGGAAACCCUUAGAGUCAGAGAAGCAUCGAGAACCGGAAGGAGACCUUAGGAGGAAGAACCCAGGAUGCGAUGAUUAGUGGGGAACACUGGAACCUACCAACGAAACUCUCAACAUACAGAGAGACAAUGAGAAAACUUCAAGAAGCCAAUUCCUGUUGCCCUAAUCUAACAAGUUUCACAAAGAAAGUACACUGAAACUUUACUGUCAAUGCAAUAAAGCACAGGAAACUGGGACAAA